UCACUGCAGCUGUGCUUCAAGAAUCUUUAUUGGCUUGGAAACUAAAGAGAUGGAAACAUAUUUGAAAUGGGUGGUUCUGCUGUCUCUCUGCAUCCUCUUCUUUGGUCAAGAAUGAGUACACAGCUUUUGGAGAAUGUGGACUUCCCCGGAUCCAACAUCAAAUUUGUCUACUCUCUGAUGCUGAACACUGUCAGCAGUUUGCACCCAGCACCCCUCCUGUGUUUUCUUUAGCUUUGUCCGAGCUGACUGGACCGAAGAUAAAAGGCACUUCUACUGCUACCUCAAGACCACUCCUCGGA